rnacentral:lncRNA from 1 species
UUUGGUAUGGGUAGCGUGUUACAUGAUAGUCUCUAUUGAGUUAUCGGUAGAAAUGAGUAUAUGGAUAAACAGAUAUUGAAAUGGGACCUCUACUCAGUGCCUUAUUAAUAUAUACAUACAUACAUACAUACAUACAUACACAUAUUAUUUGUAUAUAUUGCUGGGGAGCAAUGAUCUGAAAUAUAAAUACUCUCAUCUGGUCACCUUCAGGAUCCAAAUGUAAUAGCAUUGAAUAAUGAGUUGGGCAGAGAUUCAUAUAUGAGGUUCUUACAGGCCUGUGAAGAGUCUUUAGGACCAUGCCUGAGUGUAGCUCUCCUUAGACCUGUGUGAUAAUUUAGUGGAAUGUCAGUUCUACUUCUCAUCAUUAAACAUUCUUGAGCCACAGGUGCUUCCACGGAACCAGAAAGUACAAAACUUUGCACAUGAAAAAAAAAAAGCCCAUAAGUAUGCUUGUUAUAUAAAGGAAGGCUGGGACCCAGAAGAACCAGUAAUUCCUCAAGCUCUCAGUGUGAUAGACCUGGAUUGGGUGAGAAAUAGCAGGAGUCACUCAUAUAUAAAGAAAAAUAAAAAUGAGGAAUAAGAACUCAGGGUGACUCUAAGCCAAACCACACGAUGAGUGUGAAGCAUAUGCUGAGAUGAAGAACUUUAUUUUAAAUCUUCAUUGCUUUAGUGGAAGCAAGGUUAUCUUUGAGUAUGUCAAGUGGUAACACUUGUUUAAUUCGAAAGGCAACACUUACGUGACAUAUUUAACUAUUAACAAUUAUUAUAAAUUUGCAUCUUAUUACAAUGACAUUGUCCUAGUUGACAUAAAAUGACAUUACCUAACUGGAGAAGAGCAUUUGCUGGCUAACCAGAAGAUCUGAAUUAGACCCCAGGACUCACAGUGUGGAAAGAACACCAGUAAGUUCAUCAAGUUGUUACUUCCACGUGUGCACCAUGCCACAAGCACAUUCUACCCACCCAUGUGUACACGCAUGCACAUGAUUAAGUAUAAUAAAUUAACAAGAGAUUUUAGGUUGCUUUUACAAAUGGAGAUAAUAAUUAAACACCCCAUGUGUAGGAAGGCAUAGAAAAAUGAUUCCUAUUAAUUAUAUUUAAUUUAAAUUAUAUUUCUAUCUGAAUACCAUGGAAAGAAGUAGGGCACACUUAGGACUUUUGUGUAAACAGCUUCAUUAUCUCCAGGUAGAGAAUGGGCUAUUUUCCAGAAUAUGUGAAAUGGCAAAAGCAGAAUGCUCGAUCAUCUCACUUUCAUCUCGUUGAUGUUCAAGAGUCCCCUGUCCCAGAUUUAUAGUGCUUUCCUUACCCAUCCAUCAUUGUUAAUGUGCCAAUACUCUGAAUGCUGGAAGACUGGAAUUGACUGCCCGAGUCAGUUUCUUCCCAGUAGAGGUAGUUUAUCAUCUUUGCGGUUGUUGGUGUAUAUUAUUAAACAUGUUUUAUAAUUGACAGUGAUUAUAAAUUAGCACAUUACCACAAUGGCAUUUUCCUAAUUGGCUAUAUUGAUAGAUGUGUUUGGAGUGGGUAAAUUCCUGACUGUAAGCCAAGUGUCCAUCUGAGAGAGUGUUGAGACCAUCCUCAGGCCAGAAGAGAAACUCUCCACUCCACAGGUUCCCCCUUACUAUAUCUUUCUGUCCCUCUGUCACUGGUAGACAUGACUCUCAGAUUCGUAAGUUUCCACCUAUGCUCCCCUUUGACAAAAUUUCUGGGAAACCCUGGUUAAUAAAGACAUGGGGUUUCAAGACUGAAGAGAUGACUUUAAUCUGGCUAUGCCAUGGAACAGAUGAGCAGCAUCCCUCCAAACCUGUUUCCUUGAUAAAAUCUGUGGAUUAAAUUAAUGUGUCUCUCAGGGUUAUGUUAUACCCAACAUUAAACAUGGUAGGUAUGUAAUAUUUUAUUCAUUACCAAGUAUAUGGUAAUUUCUCAAUAUAUAUUGGUAAUUAUCUUAGUUCUAUAUUGCAUAAAAUAUAACAUUAAAUUAAUAAGCAUUAUCUGAUAUUGCUCAUUAUUGAAUUUAAUGUACAGCUACCAUCUCUAAAUUUGAGAAAUCACUCACUCUCUAGAACUCUAAUAACACUGUCCCCUAAAGACAAUCUUUCCAUUGAAAUAAACAAUUUAUCUUCCCAAUGUACAAUCUGCCAGGUCCACAACUACUUCUUUUUUUAAUUAAUCUCCUGACAUCUACCCUGCUGAUGUUAUCCUCCUAGCAUCUAAAGUCCUCAUUUCUCUUUACCAUUCUCUUUCAUGUUAUACACUGAACUAGGAAAAGACACCAGUAGACUUUUUCACAAUAAAAGUCCAUGCUAGUGUUCUGAAGAUGUUGCAGCAGAGAUUUAGUUGAAGCAUAUAACAUCUAUAUUCAAGCUAGGAGUGAUAGGUGUCUCCCUGACAUUCAAUUCCUUCUGCUGCCUCUGAAAUCAUUGUCAAGCAUAUAAGAAUAUGCCCCAUAGUCACAAGGUAGACUUUAAUUCUAUCUCCUGAAAUCCACUUAGUCAAGAUCAAGGGUUCUCCAAUUACAUAUUCUGUUAUUUCCUAGCUAUCAUAUAUGCUCAGCAUCUGUCAUCAGCAGAAUUUGCUCUAAUUUUUCCUCCUAUCACAAGUUUCUGCAACUUACCAGAAAACCUUACCAAGUAUGCUUCACUUCAGAUAUCAUAGUUAUUUGUGGGUCUUGCUUAGAAGCAUUAGUGGCCAGUGAUUAUUGUAGGCAGUUGCUACACAUGACUUUCUGUCAGCUUUACUUUUUUAAUUUCAUAAAAUUCUGUGUAGUACCACAGUUAAUCAGCAAAAACAUCUGUUAACUUCUCUCAAACAGGCUACAUUUCAAUGGUAGGUGAAUUUGUACGAGUUUAAUCUAACAAAUAUGUUUGGAAUGCCAGCAGUGAAUGAAUUAAAUUAAUAUUUAUUGAGAACCUACAUGUUGUAGUCAUUUGCUUGCUCUUUUGAUUAUAUAUAUAUAUACGAUCUGGCUUGACUCUUUGAAUCAUCCAGUGGGAUACAUAAUCUAGACCUUUUCAAAUGAAUUAAUUAAGAUUCAUAGAGGAGAUAUAUUUUUGUUUAAUACAUCCAAUUAAUAGGCGGAAGAAGUAUGAGUUGAAUUAAAAGUUUCCUGGGUUUGAAAUCUCUUGGUUUUCUUCAAAGAUAGGAUUUUACUAAGCAUGUGUUAUGAUGAUAGGUUGGUAAGGAAGUAUAUGAAUACAGUCCACAAUUCUGCACCUGAUUUAUAAAAUCUUGGAGUAAACUAUUUUUGUUUGUUGUUGUUGUUGUUGUUGCUUAGUUUUUUAACCAGAGGAUUCAAAGUUCUGUAGAGAUGUGUUUAUGACAUUAACUGGAUCGAAGAGAGGUAAAGGAAAUGAUAUAGAACAAACCCUUUACCUACCCCAAAGUUGUCUGCUGAUGUUUGUUAAUGUCUUCUCAUAAUUGUACAGACUGGGGGGUGGGGAAGGAUUAAUGGGGAAACAGCUAGAAACUGCCCAGCUCCAUAUUGAAGUAAAAACUAUCAUCUCAGUGUCAGUUCUUGUUUCCCUAAAUGAUAUGUGCCCACACCACUUCUCCACAUAAUGCUUCACCUACAAGACUGGCAUUUACUGCUAGACACUGGGUUCACAGCGAGCAAAAGCUGUAGCUCAGAAACAUAAAGUCCCUUUCCUACCAACUUCUAAGAGCCCAGAGGCAAUGAAUGUUGCUGUCAAGAAUAAUUUAAACAAAGGGUAUCUAGUACUGUGUUUUCAAACUGAGUCCCCAUUUCGAUUCUACUUUGGGAUAUUUGACAAUGAUGAUUCAUUUGUUGCUAUCUUAUUUUAUAGAACACAUGGAAUUUUCUUACAACAAAAGCGUAUUCUGAAUAUUGCAGAGGGCUUUCUGGUCAUGGCAUCAUACAUACUAAAUUUUCUUGUGGGAUAUGGUAAUAAAGAUUGUCCUGUAGUGUGGACAUAUUCAUAGAUUGUUUAUAGGCACAACACAGCCACCAAAUAGCCAUUUGUCCUGCCCAAGCCCUGUCAGCAUUUCUCUGAGUCUUUCGUCAUUGGCACAAUGGAUAGGUCAGAAUAUUUUGUAUUCAGGUUUUACUGCAUUUCCCUAAUAUAUUGUUUAUAACUGCUUAAUAAAACUCUCCAACAUCAUUUGCCUAAAUACAUGCUAUAAGUAGCUUUUGGACUUUUCUACCCUUUGUCUUUAUGAAAGAUUGACUUCUUAUAUAUAAUUUUGCUCCAGAAUGAAUUCACUUAUACUAAAGGCAUGAAAAAGCAUAUAUGUUAUUACUAACUGACACCAGCCUCAAGCAUUCAGAAUACCCAUAAAAGUACUCUUACACAUAAAAUACUUGUGAAGUAAUUACCCAAAGUUUUUGCUGGCUGAUCUAUGAAUUUAACAUACAUUUUGAGUGAUUGGGAACUCAAGAUGUUAUGUAUUCUCUAAACUAUUUUUUAAACCAGUCAAUGGCAAGGAAUCCCUGUUUACUUUACAGUAUCUUGCCAACAGUCCUGAUAUGCUCUUUCUGUUUUGCCAGAUGUGGAGUUCAGUAUAAGAAAAAGAUUGAAAAUAUGUCUGAAGGUAUCUAAGGCCUUCUAAUACGUAUUCAGCCCUAUAGAAAGUCUUAUGAAUAUAAAAUAAUAUCUCUAAGGCUGAAGUUCACUCAGUUCUCCUUGUGUUUCCUGGUUUUCUUUUUCAUCUGGGUAGCUCCAUAUAUUAUAUGAUAAAAAAAAUAUUUUCCUGUUCCAUGUUAAGUAUGAGACUAUUUAGUCGAUGUUUAUAGACUAAACAUCUAGAAUUAUGAUGCCAGGAGUUAAUUGCCUUUACUUCUCCCAAAAGAGGAGGUUAAGAUACUUGCUGUAUUUGCCAAACCUUUUCUCACUUUUUAAGACUUCUGAAUAUGUAGAUUUUUCUUGAGGGUUUUUUUUUCCCUAAACAUUUACAUUGGGAAAUAAGCAUAAUUAAGGCAAGC